UACAGGAGGGGGCAAGCGUUGUUCGGAAUUACUGGGCGUAAAGGGCGCGUAGGCGGCCUGCUAAGUCGAACGUGAAAUCCCCGGGCUCAACCCGGGAACUGCGUCCGAUACUGACAGGCUUGAAUCCGGGAGAGGGAUGCAGAAUUCCAGGUGUAGCGGUGAAAUGCGUAGAUAUCUGGAGGAAUACCGGUGGCGAAGGCGGCAUCCUGGACCGGCAUUGACGCUGAGUGAGCGAAAGCCAGGGGAGCAAACGGG
rnacentral:rRNA from 1 species